UACAGAGGUCUCAAGCGUUGUUCGGAUUCAUUGGGCAUAAAGGGUGCGUAGGCGGCGCGGUAAGUCGGGUGUGAAAUCUCGGAGCUUAACUCCGAAACUGCAUUCGAUACUGCCGUGCUUGAGGACUGGAGAGGAGACUGGAAUUUACGGUGUAGCGGUGAAAUGCGUAGAUAUCGUAAGGAAGACCAGUGGCGAAGGCGGGUCUCUGGACAGUUCCUGACGCUGAGGCACGAAGGUCAGGGGAGCAAACGGG
rnacentral:rRNA from 1 species